rnacentral:lncRNA from 1 species
GGAGCGCCUCGUACCCCGGCCAUACGCAGACUCGGCGCGCUGAAUUCCACCCCGCGGACCCGCGCCCCACAGACCUUUGUCCCACGGGUCCUGGUUCCGCAGACCCUAAUCCUGCAGACCCCUGAGCCCGCGGACCCUGGCCCAGCAGGUGGUGGUCGCGGUGGGUCCCAGCUCCGGGAGGGGACGCCCUGGGACGCGGAGGGGCGCGCGGGCGUGGGGGCCGUGGCUCAGCCCCCCUUCCUCUCGCUCCCUCCGCCUCCCUGGGCGCCCCCUCGCCCCCUUCCUCUCGCGUCCCCGGGUUCUCGCCCCUUCUUUCCUGAUGCCUGCCUGAUUUUCUGGAAAGACCGACACCCCCAGUCGCCCCCACCGCGGCUCCCGGUUCCUUCCCCUGCAGAGCAGACGGGGGCUGGAGUAGGGGCCAACAUGGGUGACAUGGGUGGACCGGCAGGGCGGUCCCUGGGGUGCCCUUUAACUCUUUCUGUGCCACAUCCCCGGUCUCUGGCCAGUCCUGUCGCGCUAAGGCCCCUCCAGCAGCGCUGACCCUGGUCCCCCACCUGCUGGUCCUGCGGCCGCGGGGCGCUCUCUCCUCCGUCCCACCCGCUCCUUCCACACCACCUCCUUUCCUGGGAGUGGAGAAGCCCCAGCCAGAACCCCUGCCUUCCCCAAGAGGCACGCUCAGAGGGACAUUCUCCCCUUCCUCACUCCCCCUAGAGCCACAUCACACCUGGCUUUGGGGCCCUAGAACCUCAGCCCGCGCCCCUCCCCUUCCACCCCCAGCCAUCCCUGCUCUGUGCCCAGUGAUCUUGGGGUCACCACAACCCCAUGGCGCCUUGAGGCCUCACCUUUCCUGGCCUCUCAGCAUCCUGGGACACUGAUGGUCAUGCCUUCCUUCUAGAAAGUUCUCUCCGAGGCUGUGGCUUCCAGGAUGAGCACUCUCCUCCUCCCACUUCCUCCCCUUCUCCUUCCCCCUCCUCCCUUCUCCCUGGAGAGGUCUUCCUCCAAGUCCCAGUCUUCUUCCCCACCCAGAGCCCCUCCCGCUGACACUUGUCUGCAGUGCCUGUCUCCGCUCCCGCUAGGAAGCCUCCCCUCCGGCAUCUCCAAUCCAUCUCUGGGUCCUGCUCCACCUGCAUUUCCCUAGACCUGUCCUGGCCACCCUCACCCUGGGACACCUCCUGCCCGUGGAGAGCUCCUCUGAUAGGUGCCGUCCUUGGUCUUGGGGGUCCUUUCUCCCUAAUUCUACUUCUGUUUUGGGGGCGUGGGAACCCAGGGUCUUAACCCCAGCCAUUCCCCCUCCCAGGGGCCACUUCCCUCUGAAGCUUAGCCCAGCUCUGUGACCCCCACAGGCCUGCCCCCACCUGGUCCUCACUCCCCUGCAUAGCCACACUGUGGGGGCUCCAUGCUUCCCAGCCCAUAGGAAGCCCUGUUCCCAGAGGGGGCCAUUCUGUUUUAGUUGGAGCAGUGGCCAGAGGCAAAGGUCAGAAGGCAAAGGUCAUAAAAGUUUGUCUCUACCUGCCAGCAUCUGCUCCUGCUACUGCAUCUUCUCCCCUCUCCACCCAAACCCUCCCUCAGCUCCUGCCCCCACCUCUCCAGAGGCACAGACAACAGGGUUCUGAUCUUGGGUCAUGGUGCUCCCCCUGCCAGCCUCAGUCCGAGACCUCUGUGAAUGGCGGUGAUGGCUAAUGGGAUGAGGGGGACCACCUCCUGGUGGCUGCAGGGACUGGGGUGAGGGUGCUGUAGGCUCUGCCUAAGUCAAGUGCCAUGGGGCUGAAGAGACGGCGCACCGGCCCUGGAGAAGAGUCCUCCCUGCCCUCCUGUGUCUGGCCUUGUUUCCUGGAGGACAGGUCCCCACGGGGCAGAGGCCCAGCAGUCCCAGGGUCCUCAGCUUCCACCACCCCCAGGCGACGUCUGCUCACCCUGGCUGCCCGCAGCAAGAUUCCUGUUAUCUGGGUAGAGUCCUCAGCCUCCGCCACCCCCAGGCGAUGUCUGCUCACCUUGCCUGCCUUAAGCAAGAUUCCUGUUACCUGGGUUCCUUAGCCUCUGCCACCUCCAGGCCGUGUCUGCUAACCCUGUCUGCCGUCAGCAAGCUUCGUUUUACCUGGGUAGGUUCCUUAGCCUCUGCCACCUCCAGGCCGUGUCUGCUAACCCUGUCUGCCGUCAGCAAGCUUCAUUUUACCUGGGUAGGGUUCUCAGCCUCCGCCACCCCCAGGCGAUGUCUGCUAACCCUGCCUGCCCUCAGCAAGCUUCCUGUUUCC